rnacentral:rRNA from 1 species
AGAUUAAGUUAUUAAGGGCGCACGGUGGAUGCCUUGGCACUAGAAGCCGAUGAAGGACGUUACUAACGACGAUAUGCUUUGGGUAGCUGUAAGUAAGCGUUGAUCCAGAGAUUUCCGAAUGGGGGAACCCAGCAUGAGUUAUGUCAUGUUAUCGACAUGUGAAUUCAUAGCAUGUCAGAAGGCAGACCCGGAGAACUGAAACAUCUUAGUACCCGGAGGAAGAGAAAGAAAAAUCGAUUCCCUGAGUAGCGGCGAGCGAAACGGGAAGAGCCCAAACCAACAAGCUUGCUUGUUGGGGUUGUAGGACACUCUAUACGGAGUUACAAAAGAACAUGUUAGACGAAUCAUCUGGAAAGAUGAAUCAAAGAAGGUAAUAAUCCUGUAGUCGAAAACAUAUUCUCUCUUGAGUGGAUCCUGAGUACGACGGAGCACGUGAAAUUCCGUCGGAAUCUGGGAGAACCAUCUCCUAAGGCUAAAUACUCUCUAGUGACCGAUAGUGAACCAGUACCGUGAGAGAAAGGUGAAAAGUACCCCGGAAGGGGAGUGAAAGAGAACUUGAAACCGUGUGCUUACAAGUAGUCAGAGCCCGUUAAUGGGUGAUGGCGUGCCUUUUGUAGAAUGAACCGGCGAGUUACGAUCUGAUGCAAGGUUAAGCAGCAAAUGUGGAGCCGCAGCGAAAGCGAGUCUGAAUAGGGCGUUGAGUAUUUGGUCGUAGACCCGAAACCAGGUGAUCUACCCUUGGUCAGGUUGAAGUUCAGGUAACACUGAAUGGAGGACCGAACCGACUUACGUUGAAAAGUGAGCGGAUGAACUGAAGGGUAGCGGAGAAAUUCCAAUCGAACUUGGAGAUAGCUGGUUCUCUCCGAAAUAGCUUUAGGGCUAGCCUCAAGUGAUGAUUAUUGGAGGUAGAGCACUGUUUGGACGAGGGGCCCCUCUCGGGUUACCGAAUUCAGACAAACUCCGAAUGCCAAUUAAUUUAACUUGGGAGUCAGAACAUGGGUGAUAAGGUCCGUGUUCGAAAGGGAAACAGCCCAGACCACCAGCUAAGGUCCCAAAAUAUAUGUUAAGUGGAAAAGGAUGUGGCGUUGCCCAGACAACUAGGAUGUUGGCUUAGAAGCAGCCAUCAUUUAAAGAGUGCGUAAUAGCUCACUAGUCGAGUGACACUGCGCCGAAAAUGUACCGGGGCUAAACAUAUUACCGAAGCUGUGGAUUGUCCUUUGGACAAUGGUAGGAGAGCGUUCUAAGGGCGUCGAAGCAUGAUCGCAAGGACAUGUGGAGCGCUUAGAAGUGAGAAUGCCGGUGUGAGUAGCGAAAGACGGGUGAGAAUCCCGUCCACCGAUUGACUAAGGUUUCCAGAGGAAGGCUCGUCCGCUCUGGGUUAGUCGGGUCCUAAGCUGAGGCCGACAGGCGUAGGCGAUGGAUAACAGGUUGAUAUUCCUGUACCACCUAGUAUCGUUUUAAUCGAUGGGGGGACGCAGUAGGAUAGGCGAAGCGUGCUGUUGGAGUGCACGUCCAAGCAGUAAGGCUGAGUGUUAGGCAAAUCCGGCACUCAUAAGGCUGAGCUGUGAUGGGGAGAGGAAAUUGUUUCCUCGAGUCGUUGAUUUCACACUGCCGAGAAAAGCCUCUAGAUAGAUAACAGGUGCCCGUACCGCAAACCGACACAGGUAGUCAAGAUGAGAAUUCUAAGGUGAGCGAGCGAACUCUCGUUAAGGAACUCGGCAAAAUGACCCCGUAACUUCGGGAGAAGGGGUGCUCUUUAGGGUUCACGCCCAGAAGAGCCGCAGUGAAUAGGCCCAAGCGACUGUUUAUCAAAAACACAGGUCUCUGCUAAACCGUAAGGUGAUGUAUAGGGGCUGACGCCUGCCCGGUGCUGGAAGGUUAAGAGGAGUGGUUAGCUUCUGCGAAGCUACGAAUCGAAGCCCCAGUAAACGGCGGCCGUAACUAUAACGGUCCUAAGGUAGCGAAAUUCCUUGUCGGGUAAGUUCCGACCCGCACGAAAGGCGUAACGAUUUGGGCACUGUCUCAACGAGAGACUCGGUGAAAUCAUAGUACCUGUGAAGAUGCAGGUUACCCGCGACAGGACGGAAAGACCCCGUGGAGCUUUACUGUAGCCUGAUAUUGAAAUUCGGCACAGCUUGUACAGGAUAGGUAGGAGCCUUUGAAACGUGAGCGCUAGCUUACGUGGAGGCGUUGGUGGGAUACUACCCUAGCUGUGUUGGCUUUCUAACCCGCACCACUUAUCGUGGUGGGAGACAGUGUCAGGCGGGCAGUUUGACUGGGGCGGUCGCCUCCUAAAAGGGAACGGAGGCGCUCAAAGGUUCCCUCAGAAUGGUUGGAAAUCAUUCAUAGAGUGUAAAGGCAUAAGGGAGCUUGACUGCGAGACCUACAAGUCGAGCAGGGUCGAAAGACGGACUUAGUGAUCCGGUGGUUCCGCAUGGAAGGGCCAUCGCUCAACGGAUAAAAGCUACCCCGGGGAUAACAGGCUUAUCUCCCCCAAGAGUUCACAUCGACGGGGAGGUUUGGCACCUCGAUGUCGGCUCAUCGCAUCCUGGGGCUGUAGUCGGUCCCAAGGGUUGGGCUGUUCGCCCAUUAAAGCGGUACGCGAGCUGGGUUCAGAACGUCGUGAGACAGUUCGGUCCCUAUCCGUCGUGGGCGUAGGAAAUUUGAGAGGAGCUGUCCUUAGUACGAGAGGACCGGGAUGGACAUACCUCUGGUGUACCAGUUGUCGUGCCAACGGCAUAGCUGGGUAGCUAUGUAUGGACGGGAUAAGUGCUGAAAGCAUCUAAGCAUGAAGCCCCCCUCAAGAUGAGAUUUCCCAACUUCGGUUAUAAGAUCCCUCGAAGAUGACGAGGUUAAUAGGUUCGAGGUGGAAGCGUGGUGACACGUGGAGCUGACGAAUACUAAUCGAUCGAAGACUUAAUCAAUUU